rnacentral:piRNA from 1 species
UCAUAUAUGCAACAGUCAUGUCUACAGUA